CCGAAAAUACAAUCAUGCAUAACAUAUAUAAAUUGAACUGCCAAACAGUAACACACAGGGGUUUUCUUGAAAGUCCUGCGCUUACUAAAAACAUUUCUUUCAUUUUCAUAAGAUUGGUCGGCCGACCCAUUUUCCUUCAUAUGAUCCAUAUCUGUUCCUUUCUGUCACGCGCCGGGAAGGAGGCCUCCUUACCACGGACGCCA
rnacentral:lncRNA from 1 species